CAUGCAGUCGAGCGGCAGCACAGAGAAACUUGUUUCUCGGGUGGCGAGCGGCGGACGGGUGAGUAAUGCCUGGGAAAUUGCCCUGAUGUGGGGGAUAACCAUUGGAAACGAUGGCUAAUACCGCAUGAUGCCUACGGGCCAAAGAGGGGGACCUUCGGGCCUCUCGCGUCAGGAUAUGCCCAGGUGGGAUUAGCUAGUUGGUGAGGUAAGGGCUCACCAAGGCGACGAUCCCUAGCUGGUCUGAGAGGAUGAUCAGCCACACCGGAACUGAGACACGGUCCAGACUCCUACGGGAGGCAGCAGUGGGGAAUAUUGCACAAUGGGCGCAAGCCUGAUGCAGCCAUGCCGCGUGUGUGAAGAAGGCCUUCGGGUUGUAAAGCACUUUCAGUUGUGAGGAAGGUGGUGUUGUGAAUAGCAGCAUCAUUUGACGUUAGCAACAGAAGAAGCACCGGCUAACUCCGUGCCAGCAGCCGCGGUAAUACGGAGGGUGCGAGCGUUAAUCGGAAUUACUGGGCGUAAAGCGCAUGCAGGUGGGUUUGUUAAGUCAGAUGUGAAAGCCCCGGGCUCAACCUGGGAAUUGCAUUUGAAACUGGCAAACUAGAGUACUGUAGAGGGGGGUAGAAUUUCAGGUGUAGCGGGUGAAAUGCGUAGAG
rnacentral:rRNA from 1 species